CAUUAGUGAAUAUAGGACGUCCAACUUAACUUGGAGUCCGAACUCUCACUUUCUAACCCUGUGCACUUGUUUGGGAUAGUAACUCUCGCAAGAGAGCGAACUCCUAUUCACUUAUAAACACAAAGUCUAUGAAUGUAUUAAAUUUUAUAACAAAAUAAAACUUUCAACAACGGAUCUCUUGGCUCUCGCAUCGAUGAAGAACGCAGCGAAAUGCGAUAAGUAAUGUGAAUUGCAGAAUUCAGUGAAUCAUCGAAUCUUUGAACGCACCUUGCGCUCCAUGGUAUUCCGUGGAGCAUGCCUGUUUGAGUGUCAUGAAUACUUCAACCCUCCUCUUUCUUAAUGAUUGAAGAGGUGUUUGGUUUCUGAGCGCUGCUGGCCUUUACGGUCUAGCUCGUUCGUAAUGCAUUAGCAUCCGCAAUCGAACUUCGGAUUGACUUGGCGUAAUAGACUAUUCGCUGAGGAAUUCUAGUCUUCGGAUUAGAGCCGGGUUGGGUUAAAGGAAGCUUCUAAUCAGAAUGUCUACAUUUUAAGAUUAGAUCUCAAAUCAGGUAGGACUACCCGCUGAACUUAAGCAUAUCAAUAAGCGGAGGAAAAGAAACUAACAAGGAUUCCCCUAGUAGCGGCGAGCGAAGCGGGAAGAGCUCAAAUUUAUAAUCUGGCACCUUCGGUGUCCGAGUUGUAAUCUCUAGAAAUGUUUUCCGCGUUGGACCGCACACAAGUCUGUUGGAAUACAGCGGCAUAGUGGUGAGACCCCCGUAUAUGGUGCGGACGCCCAGCGCUUUGUGAUACAUUUUCGAAGAGUCGAGUUGUUUGGGAAUGCAGCUCAAAUUGGGUGGUAAAUUCCAUCUAAAGCUAAAUAUUGGCGAGAGACCGAUAGCGAACAAGUACCGUGAGGGAAAGAUGAAAAGCACUUUGGAAAGAGAGUUAACAGUACGUGAAAUUGUUGGAAGGGAAACGCUUGAAGUCAGACUUGCUUGCCGAGCAAUCGGUUUGCAGGCCAGCAUCAGUUUUCCGGGAUGGAUAAUGGUAGAGAGAAGGUAGCAGUUUCGGCUGUGUUAUAGCUCUCUGCUGGAUACAUCUUGGGGGACUGAGGAACGCAGUGUGCCUUUGGCGGGGGUUUCGACCUCUUCACACUU
rnacentral:rRNA from 1 species